rnacentral:snoRNA from 2 species
CACGACGGUCUGCUAAGAACCCAGUAUCUUUAGACUGCUGAGACAGUGUUGUAUGAUU